AUUCUUGGGCAAGUCCUUUUUGUGCAAGGUCCUCUUGUGAACUGUGUGAUUAUCCUGCCCUGAUACUGUACUGCAAACCGGAACAAGGGGCAUGAUUAGAGUCCAUCUAGAUGCUACUAAAAGAAACAUCCGUGUCAUAAAAUGCAGACUGUGUGUAUGCAGGGGAUUGAGGUUGCUGGGCCUCAAUUCCUCAUUAAGGCAUACAACCGCUGCAGGAUGUCUGCAUGGUAACAGAGGAAGCUGGAAGACUGAAAGCAAGAAAGACACCAAGGACAAGUCUGGAAGGGAAGGAGGGGUCGAAAAACUUCCCUCUCGCAGGCACACAUUUACCAAAAUGAAUAAUGUGAUGAUACACCAGCAGAUCAAAUUUUACAGAAUGACUCACAAUCGUUGUACAAUCUGCAGCUCGAGAGACGGGGCCAAGCAGAACUGUGGAGGUAUCAUUUAGAAUGCAACCAGCACAUCUUAAAGGAAACGGAAAGAGGGCCCCCAGUCUUGCAGACACUUAUGCAGGUGCUCAACUCUGCCAGUCAGAACCGUCUCGCCGAGUAUUCAACAGGGACUGCAAACAAAGGCAGAAACCAAGCGUGCGAGUGUACGCAGAAGGCACGGCUGCAACACGGUUUAGGUUAAGAGGAGUUCACAGGCCUUCUCCAGCACGUACCCGCCCUCAGCUAUAUUGCACAGUCAAGCAUCCCUUUAUCAUAGAUUCAUAAAAAAUGAGAGUUGGAAGGGACCUCAGAAGGUCACCUAGUCUCGUGUUUCUCAAGUCGUAAGAAUAUAUAAAAAGGGUC